UACGCAGGCGGCUGCGCAAGACAGGUGUGAAAUCCCCGGGCUUAACCUGGGAACUGCAUUUGUGACUGCGCAGCUAGAGUUUGUCAGAGGGGGUGGAAUUCCACGUGUAGCAGUGAAAUGCGUAGAGAUGUGGAGGAACACCGAUGGCGAAGGCAGCCCCCUGGGACCUGACUGACGCUCAUGUACGAAAGCGUGGGAGCAAACA
rnacentral:rRNA from 1 species